rnacentral:rRNA from 1 species
UACAGAGGUCUCAAGCGUUGUUCGGAUUCAUUGGGCGUAAAGGGUGCGUAGGUGGCGCCGUAAGUCGGGUGUGAAAUUUCGGAGCUUAACUCCGAAACUGCAUUCGAUACUGCGGUGCUUGAGGACUGGAGAGGAGACUGGAAUUCAUGGUGUAGCAGUGAAAUGCGUAGAGAUCAUGAGGAAGACCAGUGGCGAAGGCGG